rnacentral:lncRNA from 1 species
GAUUUUUUUAUAGGCAGCUUUUAAAGGAGAAGAAUGGAAACCAGUAGGUUUAGAGGAAAAGACAGAGAGUACAGCCAAACUAGAUGCUAAAUCAUUCCGUCAACCAAAGAUGCCGCCUCCCAGAGCACCUCCUUCAGCCAACCAAAUCUAAUCUCAAAGAUUGUAAGGAUUUAAACCAAGGGUAUUUUGGGACAUAGUUUCUCCACAAAGCAAUAGACAUUUGCAAUUUAUGGUAUAAAUUAACCAUUCUCAAUUUUAAAAGUAAAAAAAGUGUUAACAUUAUACAUUUUGUAUAUUACUGUAUACAGCAUUUUUUCAUGAGAUAUUUUUACAUUCACUUCAGAAAAUUUUGCAAUAUAUAUCAUGUAUGUUCAAUCUGAUUUACAUACAGAUCCUAUGUAUGUUUUGCUUUCAAGAAUCUGACAAUAUCUCAAUUCACCGUUUCAGAAUCUAAUGCAUUCUGGGUAAUAUUUCCAAAAAUGUAAACCAAAACGUUGUGAUUGGUUUAAAUUGUGAUAAACAAUAGAAAUUCAUAAUUGUAUAAAUAAACCAAUUUUUCAAGACAUUUCGGCCAUUGGCCUUCUUCAGUUCUUUAUUUUUCCUCUAAACUACAUGGCUGACAUUUCUUUUUCAAUCAUUGAUUUAUCUAUAACAUCUUUUCAAUGAUUGAAAAAGAAAUGUCAGCCAUGUAGUUUAGAGAAAAAAUAAAGAACUGAAGAAGGCCAAUGGCCGAAACGUCUUGAAAAAUUGGUUUAUUUAUACAAUUAUAAAAAGUAUGUUCCCUAUUGGAAUUUUGAAAACAAGGAAUAGAAAUUCAACCAAUGAUGUAAUGUUAUUUUUAUCUUGGUGUACAAACAAUGAGAUUACCCAUAGUCCUUUAGAUUCCGAAAAGGCAAAUUGACUUUGUUCUGGUAACUAUUUCAUCAGCCAAUGAAAUUUUAGGCUUUAAAUUUUUUAUGGUUUGUAUUAAUCUGACAAAACCAGAUGAUCAGUUUUAAAUCCGAUUGAUGUAGAUUUUUCACAACUGAUUAAUAGUUUUACAUCAAUCUUUUUGUUAUCCUAGAUAGAAGUUUAAAAGUGAAAAGGACAAUUUAUGACUUAUUCAUUUAUGCUUUUACUAUUAAAAGCAUGAUUUUGUUUUAAGACUUAAUUUUAAUUUUAUACUUUUUAGAAUAUCAUAUACACAUUUUUAUGCAUCUUUCAUAAUCUGAGGACAUUUUGUGCAAUAAAUCUUCCUUUUUAUUAUCAAAGGUAUUAUAUUAAUACUGCUAUUUUAAUAAGAAUCAAAGUGUUGACCCAUAAGUGAACAAAUGUCUAGUUAUAAAGUUAAAGUUGAACAUCUCAUUCUCAUCGUGUGUAGCAGGGAAAUUAAGUGGGAUUUGAAAAACAAAAAGUUGUUGAAAUUAGAUGUAUAAGUAAUAGUUUAUUGUCAGUGUCAAACAAUAGGUACAUCCAAAAUCAUUUGAAUAAAACUAUCAAUCUUAGCUGAGCAGUCAGUAUCAGCAUGUCACUAUAACCUGUAAAUUGGUUGAAAAACUAUGAUAUUAAAUUUUGCAUGAUUUGCUACCUCUGAUGCGAUUAAGAAAAUCCAAAUCACCAUUGGUCAUUAAAAGUCACUCAGUUUUUUAAAUGUUAACUACCUUACAAUAAAUAAAUCAAUCUGAAUGGGAUGCAUUUUUCUAACUGUAAAUCAGUUCAUUUAUUUCAUAUCACCUGUUUUUGGAAGCAUUUAACCGUUAAAAUUGACAAUUUUUGUUUUAUUUAGUAAUUAGGUCUUUCCACUUUUCUGUGGAAAGACCUAUUGUAUUUUUCUGAUUAUUAUUUUUUUUUUUUUCCCGCCACAUUUUGAAAUUUUUGUUUCGCAAUAUGUCGCUUAGAUAUUUCUUAUAUUGUAUCAUACAGUUUAUGCGUUUUAAAUUUCAACCUGCUAAGACGAACAAUUUUCUUUGUAAGAAUUAUCUCCCUGUUCACUGUUCAGGCCCGUAGCCAGGAAUUUCCAAAGGGGGGUUAUUUGGCCUCAAAAACUCGACUUUAACAGUCACAAUUCGUAACAGAACGUUGACUUUAACAGUCAUUAUUUGUUUUCAAGGGGGGGUUUGUCCAAACCCCCCGAACCCCUCCUGGCUACGGGUAUGCUGUUUACUAGAUGUGUGCAUCUUCUUCUUAACAAAAAUGAUAUCGACAAACUUCUUUUUCUAACUUGUUCGCUAUAUCCUCAGGAAUAUUUGGCUAAUUUGAAUCAAAGCGAUUCAAUGAAAUUUUAUAGGAGUUAUGUACCUUUACCCAAUAAAUUUGUCGAUAUGUUUUUUUAACUCAUAAACCAUUAACCGCAUAACCCUGGAAUGUUUUUAUUUGAGGCCCCUGGGUCCUAACUUAGAAAAUGAAGUCAAGGUCAAAGGUCAAGGUCAAGUUCUCAAUGUUGACUUUUCCUUGUUUUGGCAUUUUCUCCAACACCUUUAAAGAAUUAUAUAAAAGAACAAGUGCAAAAUGUUUGCUUAAUUGUAAUGAAGAUAUGUUACUCUUGGUCUGAAAAAAUCUAAUGGCAUCUUAUAGGAGCUAGUGCCCCUGAAAUGUCUUAUUAUCAGGUUUAUUGAUUAUUACUUCAACUUGGUUCAUUAUAUAGCCAUAUGACCUUUAACAAAAUGUUGGAUGACAUAUGACCUUGAAAAAUGACAACCGGAAGUAGCCAUUUUUGCACUUUUUUCAUGAAAAAGUACUCAGAAACCAUAUAUUUUGUAAUUCAAAUACAUUAACUUAUCACUAAAGACUAUUAGUGACUUUCAAUAAACAGGAAGUGGCCAAUUAUCUCCUUAUUUACAGGCAAAAAUAUAUAAAAACUAUAUAUUUUUGAAAUCAGUGUGACAGAAGCUAUCAUAUGAAACCGGAAGUGACAUUUCCUUCACCUAAAGUAGCACAUUAUAUCCCGUAUUUUACUCAAAAGUAUAUAGAAAAUUUAUUGUAUCAGUAUGAAGAAACUUAUGAUUGGGUGCCAGUUUUAACUUUGAGCAAACCGGAACUAGCUACUUUUCAAUGACUUUGAACAUUGAUGUGGAAAGACUUUCAAUUGUUCUCUGAACAAUUGAUUUUUAUUUUAUUUUUAUUUUUUCCGCCUAAUCUUGUACUUGCGAUAAAUAUUUGUUUCGCAAUAUGUCGCUUAGAUAUUUGGUAUAUGAUAUCAAACAGUUUAUGCGCCUUUGAAAUUUACCCUGCCUAACGGAAUACUUUUCUUUGUUGGAGUUAUCUCCCCAAACACUGUUUUCCUUGUGUCCACUACUUCUUCGCAACCGUAAAAGAUUACGACAAAUUUAUUUUAUAUGAUUUGUUGUAUUUUGACCAAAGCGAUAUGAACACUCCAUAUGAGAGUUAUUUCCCCUUAUGCAUUUGAUAUAAGUGAUAUGCAUUUCUAUCUUGUAAACCAUAAGUGAUAGAGACCUAGGAUCUUUUGAUUGGAGGUCCUUGGUCCAAAAAAAUGAAUUUUAGGUCAAGUUCAAAGGUCAAGGUCAAAUUCUUAUUUUUUAAUUUGGCUUAUUUUCAAAAACCGUAUAAGAUAUCAACAAAUUAUUUUUUCUAAAUUGUAAGUUGUGACAUGUCGUAACACGUAAAUUUUGAUUGCAAGUGUACGUUGAACGUAAAAGGGAGUUUUCUCCCCUCUUGUAUUAAAAAAAAAACGUGUAUGGUGAUAAAACUCAUUAACCAAAUAUAAUUAAGACCUAUGGUCUUUUGAUUUGAGGUCCUUGGUUUAUGACCUUGAAAUUGAUCUCAAGGUCAUAGCUUAAUUUGACGUUCUAGAUCUUGACCUUUGCUUUUACCUCAUAUUAAAGCCAUGAGACUUUUGGCAAAAGGUAUCAAACCAUUUACCCUUGAAAAAAAACAACCGGAAGUGACCUUGUGUAAACCGGAUGUAGCUAUUUGUUGUACUUUAUUAAUAUAAAAGUAUAUAGAACCAGAUAUUUUUGGAAUCAGUGUCAUGUAAAUAUUCAAAUAUUAUUGGAAGUAACAUUUUUCAAACUGGAAGUAACAAAUUAUCUCCCUUAUUUAAAAAAAUAUUGUAUAGAAACCAUAUUUUUUUGGAAUAAGCGUACAAUAAGCGAUCAGUUGAAGAUUGAAAUGACAUUUUAAACUUAAUUUUACAACUUUCAUAUUAAAAUACAUGUUUUUUGGUGGAAAGACCUUCAAUUGUUCUCUGAACAAUUGGUUUUUAAUUAUUAUAUUCUUUGUUUCAUGACAUUUUUUAAUGCAAUAAUCUUGCCUUGUUAUAGGAUCAUUGAUAUUUUUAUGCAAUAUAUGUAUUUG